CGUACGCGAUCGCUUCGCCGACCUUUAAAAAGGACAGACAUGACAGAGGUUUGUUGACAAACAAUUGCCACUGGAAUCCUCUCUUCAUUCCAGAGCACUGGCAUUACAGGAUUGGAAACCAUGAUAGAUCGGUCAUUUUAUCUCGGACACACAAAAGGAGCUAUAUAGGGGGCAUACAACAGGCGGUGGGAUAGGAACUGCAAAUCUGGGCUCAAUGUCAUGGCUCUGUUUAAUCAAAGAAUCAGCACUUACAGAAGUUUCUUGUGGGAACACAUGGGAUCUUCAGUGCAAG